GAUGAACGCUAGCUACAGGCUUAACACAUGCAAGUCGAGGGGAAACGACAUCGAAAGCUUGCUUUUGGUGGGCGUCGACCGGCGCACGGGUGAGUAACGCGUAUCCAACCUGCCCACCACUUGGGGAUAACCUUGCGAAAGUAAGACUAAUACCCAAUGAUAUCCCACGAAGGCAUCCGAAUGGGAUUAAAGAUUUAUCGGUGAUGGAUGGGGAUGCGUCUGAUUAGCUUGUUGGCGGGGUAACGGCCCACCAAGGCAACGAUCAGUAGGGGUUCUGAGAGGAAGGUCCCCCACAUUGGAACUGAGACACGGUCCAAACUCCUACGGGAGGCAGCAGUGAGGAAUAUUGGUCAAUGGGCGAGAGCCUGAACCAGCCAAGUAGCGUGCAGGACGACGGCCCUAUGGGUUGUAAACUGCUUUUAUAAGGGAAUAAAGUGAGUCUCGUGAGACUUUUUGCAUGUACCUUAUGAAUAAGGACCGGCUAAUUCCGUG
rnacentral:rRNA from 1 species